UUUUGAGGUUAUACAAAUAGCACAAACAUUAAUUUUAGAAAUGUCGUUCCAUCCGUUGCAUUGGAUUUUUUCUCCCUUUGUAUGAGGGGCAUUGGCUAGGAAACAUAAUUUUUUUUUGUAUAAAGGUAUUUUGCUGGGAAACAUAAUUUUGUGUGGGAAGUUGCUAGAAAAGCUAAUUUCAAAGCAGAGCUGUGCAAACCAGGCGCCCUCUUCCUCAUGCAACUCGCACUACACUCUCGUGCGCUCUGGACUCGGACCAUCUUUCUCUGGAUCUCCUUCCUCACUCUCUACAGUGUAAAAUUUGGGUGGAGUUGUAAUUGGAUAUUAAUGGAGUAUCCAUUUGCUACCCUUGAUCUCAACAAUACGCAUGAGAGGUGAAGCAAAUGGCAGGUAAAAUAUUGGGAGAGGGCAGUUGAUAAGCUUGAGAGUCUGCUUCGAAUUCUACAGCUUACAAAUGGAUUGUUUGCAAAAAUUUGCAUCUUGUAGGAAUCUUCAAGAAAUAAUUCUUAGAUGGGUGAUGAUUUAAUCGGUUUAGUAUGAAUAGGAAGUUGUUGGGGUUCGUGGAUCAAGGUGGAGCUGAAAGCAAGGGGUCAAAGUCUCGAACUGGUUUUCUUUGGAGGUCAAGAAUGAAGGAAAAUCUAGCUGCAAUUGGUGUAGAAUGCAACUCAUGAUGAUAAAUACGCUGACAAAUGUAGGGCACUGAAAGUGAAGGAAGGAGAGAGGAUAGAUGGAAAGUUAGAGAGGCGAUACUUGAAACAUUUAUAGGGGAAAGUGGUUGAGGUUAUUUGAUGAACGAUAAUGGAGAACAAGGAGUAUUUUCUUGAAGAGGGAGAAUGGGUUGGUAGAAGAAGGAUGGGAUUGUCAAAUUAAAAAGUUGCACGGUUGUUUUAUGUUGGGCUUCUCACAUUCUUGGCAUCUAUUAUUGAUUCUACGAACAGGAAAGCAUGUGUAAGAUCUAAUGGUCUACUUUCUUUUCUAGAAAUCUGGGUUAUGCUUUUGUUUGGAAGUUUUAAAAAAUAGGUCAUUCGAAUCUUGUCUCCAAGAAUUUUACGUUUGUUGACGCAUUACGGGUUGUUGAAUGUAAUAUAUGCAAUAAAAACAGGAGUUGCAAAUUUUAAGAAAGGAGUGGUUUGAUGUGGAUGAUAUGGAGAUGUUAUGCUUGGAAGAGUGCCUUUUUGUUCUGCUUGCAACGGAUUAGUAUAGGUGCAUUAAAACUUGUCUGGCUCUGGUCGCAUAUAUGAAGAUGGCAAUUGUUAUAUCUUUGGAAGAUUAUGAUGAAUUCAGUCUGACGAGAGCGGUGGAAUACUAGAUUUUUCAUAUGUCGAAGUGCAUUUGGUUGCAGUUUGUUGUAGGCAGUAUUUACAAUGGCUGUUAGGAUGUCUAUAAUGAUGGAGGAAUUUCAGCUGAAGUGAGUGUCAUGUUGAGUCAGAUUAUAUCUUGUGUACUUCAGACCCUCAGAUUGCGAAUCAAACUGUAUCGCUGCCAUGAUGGUUGCUAGGGCCAGUAUUGGAGGAGGUUGCGUGGAUAUUUGUGGGGAAGGAAGGGCAUGGUUGCAAAAUGACUGUUAAGGAUAAUGCUACUUUACAAUGAUACAUAUUUGAGGAUGGAUAGAAUUGUUUAGAUUUUUGAGAUCAAAGCUCUUGAAGGUGGUGAUAUUGGGUGGCAUGGGCGAGUGCCUUAGGUUGAAUGUGUUUCAAGCUGUGAUUUUUCAGUUGCAGGAACCUUGCACCUGGUAGUAAUCUAAGCUCCCAAAACAAAUGAUCCCAAAGUAGUUUAGACACAAUUCUUGAUGGAACAUUGUAUCAUUCGACUUCUGUUGCUCUCAUGAGUGUUCCUUGGGUGUUUGUACUAACCAAUGUUUUUAACUCAAGACUCCUCUUGGGACUUAACCAGAUCUCUAUUCCAGUCUCAUCGAGUCAAAUUGACGAAGUCUCUUUAAAGAUUAAGAGUGGAUGAUGACACCGGGCCGAUUCUUGUAAGACUGAUUGAGCCAAGUCUGCUUAGAUGAGUCCCAAGAUGACUUUGUCAGUUUUGAACGCUGCUGGUGACCAAGUGUGCGGAGGCUCCAUAUUACUUGGCUGGAUUUGAUACAAGGGAUGAAGCUAAAGAAUUACAAGAACGGUUGUUGCAGAAGAGUGACCAAGGAGUGUCUGUGAACUCGCAAAACGUAUAAAGUAAAAAACAGCAGCAUCUUAUAAAGAGCUUAGAGGCGAGGAAGAAGAGGGCAUAUGAUUUAGAGAAAAUGUACAUGGAGAUGCCUUACCAGAAGGAACUGAAGACUAAAGGAUCAUGAGCUCAUUUCCCCUACUGACAGACCAGUGUACAAAUGGGAACGGGAACACAAGCGGUGAAAGGUAUGCAUGUUGUCUCUCUCUUUCCAUGAGGGACAUAAAGAUUGUCACACUAUGUCUCAAUUAGCCUAUAAGUCAACGAGUGUGGUCUAAUGUUCUGAUAGUGAGUUUCAACGCUGUGUGUGUGUGUGUGUGUGUGUCAAAAUGGGAUUCUGACUCAACGCUAGACAGAGAGAGAUUCUUUUGUUUUAUUUUGGCCCCAAUGGAGGAAGCUAAUGGCCUUUAUUUCUCCGGCUUGCUGAGGCAUGAAGAUCACAUAAUUUAAACAGUUCACACAAGUGUAUUGGGCUUACUGAUCCAAAAUGGUAUGCCUUGCCUAGAGCUGCAGAGAGUGAUUGUUGUUCAUCUAAGAUGGACGUCGACAUGGCUGCUACUGGCCCUGAUUAAUGCUGAAUUCUGUGUAAUUUAAUGAGAAUUAUAGGUAGAAUAAAUUUUGAUGCAUUUAUUUUCACAACACCCCCCCCCCCCCCCCCUUCCUCUGUCUCUGUCUCUUCUGAUAAGUUUGGUAAAUUAGAUUAGCUCUGUUGCCCCUGAUUACCUCAAUAUACUUAGCACAAUUUUGUUCGAUCUGGGUGGUCCAUCCAAGCCAGGCUUUGUUAGUCAUGUAUUUAUUACUAUUUGUCAUAAGUUAAUGCAUGGAUAGAGAGCCCAAUCUGAAGGAGAUUCAACUCUUUGGU